AAAAUGUUCAACAUCUUUAGCAAUUAGGAAAACACAAGUCAAAACUAUACUAAGAUUUUAUCUCACACCAGUCAGAAUAGCAGUCAUCAAGACUACAAAUAAUAAUAAAUGCUAAAGAGGAUGUGAAGAAAAGGGAACACUUUUACACUGUUAGUGAGACUGUAAAUUAGUACAACCACUAUGAAAAUUAGUACGGAGGCUACUCAAGACUACACAUGGAACCAUCACAUAACCCAGUUAUACCACUUUUUGGUAUUAAAUUAAAGGCAUAUUACAACAAUCAUACAUGCAUAUCCAUGUUUAUAGCAGCACAAUUCACAUUAGACAAACUAUGGAACCAGUUUAGCUGUUCAUCAACAGAUGAAUGGGUAAAAAGAAUGUCGUAUAUAAACACAAUAGAGUUUUAUUCAGCCAUAAAGAAAAAUGAAAUUAUGGCAUUUGCAGGAAAGUGGAUGGAAGUUGAGACCAUCAUGUUAAGCAAAAUAAGUCAAAUUCAGGCCUGGCGUGGGGGCACACACCUAUAAUCCCAG
rnacentral:lncRNA from 1 species